rnacentral:rRNA from 1 species
AGUGAACGCUGGCGGUAGGCCUAACACAUGCAAGUCGAACGGCAGCACAGUAAGAGCUUGCUCUUACGGGUGGCGAGUGGCGGACGGGUGAGGAAUACAUCGGAAUCUACUUUUUCGUGGGGGAUAACGUAGGGAAACUUACGCUAAUACCGCAUACGACCUACGGGUGAAAGCAGUGGAUCUUCGGACCUUGCGCGAUUGAAUGAGCCGAUGUCGGAUUAGCUAGUUUGGGGGGUAAAGGCCCACCAAGGCGACGAUCCGUAGCUGGUCUGAGAGGAUGGACCGGCCACACGGAACUUGAGCCCCGUCCCGAACCCUACGGGGAGCAACAAGGGGGAAUAUUGGACAAUGGGCCGAAGCCCGGUCCAAGCAAACCGCGUGGGUGAAGAAGGCCUUCGGGUUGUAAAGCCCUUUUGUUGGGAAAGAAAAGCAGCAGGUUAAUACCACGCUGUUCUGACGGUACCCAAAGCAUAAGCACCGGCUAACUUCGUG